rnacentral:rRNA from 1 species
AGAGUUUGAUCAUGGCUCAGGAUUAACGCUGGCGGCGUGCCUAACACAUGCAAGUCGAACGAAAUAUCUUCGGAUAUUUAGUGGCGAACGGGUGAGUAAUGUACAGGUAAUGUACCUUCGUACUGCGAAUAACAAGCUGAAAAGUUUGCUAAUACGGAAUAGUUUCAUUAGGGGGCAUCCUUUGAUGAAUAAAGAUUUAUCGUGCGGAGAUCAGCCUGUAUCCUAUUAGUUAGUUGGUGGGGUAAUGGCCUACCAAGACGACGAUGGGUAACUGGUCUGAGAGGAUGAGCAGUCACAUUGGAACUGAGAUACGGUCCAAACUCCUACGGGAGGCAGCAGUGAGGAAUUUUGCGCAAUGGGGGAAACCCUGACGCCAGCAACGCCGCGUGAGUGAAGACGGCCUUCGGGUUGUAAAGCUCUGUCGUGUGUGACGAGUAGGGACGGUAACACACAAGGAAGCCUCGGCUAACUACGUGCCAGCCGCCGC